CUGAGCUAAGUAUGUUGGAAGGUCAGCUACACCAACUGUCUCUGUCACUCCCCUGAGCCUCAGGUUGUUACGCCUGGCUCUAUCCUCCAUGUCAGCGAGCUUAGUUUUAUAUGUGUCCAUACGUGCAGUUGCUUCGUGUUGUGAGCUUCGGCAUGAUCCGCCAUUUUGUCCUCCAUUGCAGAUGUUCUCGUGCCCAAUUUGUGGAGGUCUUUUCUGAGGUC